rnacentral:rRNA from 1 species
AAGUCUAAAACGACUCUCGGCAACGGAUAUCUCGGCUCUCGCAUCGAUGCCGAACGUAGCGAAAUGCGAUACUUGGUGUGAAUUGCAGAAUCCCGUGAACCAUCGAGUCUUUGAACGCAAGUUGCGCCCCAAGCCUUCUGGCCGAGGGCACGUCUGCCUGGGUGUCACA